AUUGAACGCUGGCGGCAGGCCUAACACAUGCAAGUCGGACGGUAGCACAGAGGAGCUUGCUCCUUGGGUGACGAGUGGCGGACGGGUGAGUAAUGUCUGGGGAUCUGCCCGAUAGAGGGGGAUAACCACUGGAAACGGUGGCUAAUACCGCAUAACGUCGCAAGACCAAGGAGGGGGACCUUCGGGCCUCUCACUAUCGGAUGAACCCAGAUGGGAUUAGCUAGUAGGCGGGGUAAUGGCCCACCUAGGCGACGAUCCCUAGCUGGUCUGAGAGGAUAACCAGCCACACGGGAACGGAGACCAGGUCCAGACUCCUACGGGAGGCAGCAGUGGGGAAUAUUGCAAAGGGGGCGCAAGCCUGAUGCAGCCAUACCGGGUGUAGGAAGAAGGCCUGGGGGUUGAAAAGUACUUUCAGCGGGGAGGAAGGCGGUGAGGUUAAUAACCUCACCGAUUGACGUUACCCGAAGAAGAAGCACCGGCUAACUCCGUGCCAGCAGCCGCGGUAA
rnacentral:rRNA from 1 species